UGCUAAUAUAUACAUUAUUUCAGUUCAGGUCCUUGUUACUUCUCAUCUGGACUAUUGCAAUAAUGUCAAAAUUGGUCUU
rnacentral:pre_miRNA from 1 species